UAUCUUGCAGAAGUACAUUUCAUGGCACAUCAGUUUUGGAAAUGGUCUAUUAAAAAAUUAAGCCUUCGGUCAACUGCAGGAUAUCUCCCAUUUAUGAAAGACUUCAUUUCAGGACUGAUCAACAGCCAAGCUCUCAGGUAACAAGUUCUUGCAUUUUCCACGUGCCUCCAUUCCUUAAAUCUUGAUUUUCUGAUACAUGUUUCAAGAAUGUGCCUCUUAUACAAGGCAAGGAAUCUUCAUUCUCUGAAACUGAGAGCCUAAAAGAGAAAUUCAUUCUCUAAAUUGCAUCCAGGCUUGCCCACUCAUGGCCUUUCCAGGCCCCUGCACCGAGGUUACCCUCUUCCUCUCAUUUUCUGUGCUAGGAUUGAUGCUCAGAUAGAGGAGAAACAAGUUACAGGGUUCCAUGUGAAAGUACGUGCGCAAAAGCCUGGCCUUUUCAAAGUAAGCUUUGCACUGAGCUUUUGGAAUCUAACUUCCCAAGUGUUAUCUGCUUUCCCGAGUACCCAGGCUUGUGCAGAUGGAGUUUAAAGUUCAGGAAGUAUUCACAAAGGAAAUCAGAAGCAAGAUCUCCAAAGACUCUCCCAGUCUGCACCUGGCCUCUCCCUCCUCCUGGGUGUGCCCGCCCCACCUGAGAAGGCCAGUGAGUAACCUGCAGGGUUUUUUUUUUUUUUUUUUCAUCUUGGCCCUUCCCACCCAGACGGGAGGACGGAGUGGCAGACAGGCAGCAGGCAGGCGGCAGGGAGUCCUGUUCCAGCAUGCAUGGGGCAUACCUCUUCCCGCACCCACGUCUGGACCCCUCGCCACCCUCCAGCACCCCACGAGGAGCCUGAGCCCCAGCAAGGGUCUGCAGGGGGCCUCUGCCCACCAUGACAAUUCCUCAUCUCUUCAGGAGGAUGAAGAGGUAGAGAUGGAGGCCAUCAGCUGGCAGGCCGGCAGCCCGGCCAUGAAUGGGCACCCCACCACGCCAGUGACCUCUGCGCGUUUCCCCAGCUGGGUCACUUUUGAUGACAAUGAAGUCAGUGGCCCUUUGUCCCCCAUCACGUCUCCUCUGAAGCCAGAAACACUGCCUCUCACCUCUGUGAUCCCAGACGGACCUUGCAACUCAACAGGGUCAUUUAAGAAGCGGGAACGGCCCAGGAGCACUUUGAUGAACUUCUCCAAAGUUCAGAAGCUAGACGUGUCCUCCGUAAGCCAUCCGCCUGCCGUGCCCGAGGCUCCACCUUGGAGGGCCACCAAUCCUUUUCUGAAUGAGACGCUACAGGAUGUACAGCCCUCCCCCAUCAACCCUUUCCGGGCUUUCUUUGAGGAGCAGGAGAGGCGAGCCCAGAACAGUUCUGUGUCCGGUACCCCAGGCAAGAGCCAGAGAGAUUCCCUCAUCGUCGUCUACCAGGACGCCAUCAGUUUUGAUGACUCGAGCCGAAACCAGUCACACUCGGAUGCUGUGGAAAAACUCAAGCGGCUCCAAAUCGAGGAUUCCGACCACUUUGGGGGUGGGACACUCCCUGAUGAUGACCCAGCCGCCUGGGCUGAACUGGAUGCCCACCCGGCAGGCUCUGAGCAGUCCCCACCCAGGGACGGCUGGCCCAUGAUGCUUAGGAUCCCUGAGAAGAAGAACAUCAUGUCGUCCAGGCACUGGGGACCCAUCUACGUCAAACUGACGGACGGUGGGUACCUGCAGCUCUAUUACGAGCAGGGCCUGGAGAGGCCGUUCCGUGAGUUCAAGCUGGAGAUGUGCCAUGAGAUUUCCGAACCCCGGCUCCAAAACUACGACGAGAAUGGUAGGAUCCACAGCUUGCGGAUAGACCGCGUCACCUACAAGGAGAAGAAGAAGUACCAGCCUAAACCCGCCGUGGCCCACUUGGCCGAGAGGGAGCAGGUCAUCAAGCUGGGCACCACCAACUACGAGGACUUCCUGAGCUUCAUCCGUGCGGUUCAGGACCGCCUCAUGGAGCUGCCGGUGUUGUCAACGGAGCUGAGCACGGUCGGCCUGAACUACCUGGAAGAGGAAAUGACGGUGGAUGUCCAAGAUGAAUUCUCCGGCCUCGUGAGCAAGGGAAACAACCAGAUCCUCCAGCACAGUGUCCUGACGCGGAUCCACGUGCUGAGCUUCCUCUCGGGCCUGGCCGAGUGCCGGCUGGGCCUCAACGACGUCCUGGUCAAAGGGAACGAGGUGGUGUCCCGCCAGGACAUCGUGCCCACCACCACCGCUAAGUGGAUCCGGCUCCACGAGUGCCGCUUUCACGGCUGCGUGGAUGAGGACGUGUUCCGCGGCUCGCGCGUCAUCCUCUUCAACCCUCUAGAUGCCUGCCGCUUCGAGCUCAUGCGGUUCCGGACAGUGUUCGCCGAGAAGACCUUGCCCUUCACGCUCAGGACGGCGGCGAGCAUCCACGGGGCGGAGGUGGAGGUGCAGAGCUGGCUGAGGAUGUCGGCGGGCUUCUCCUCCAACUGGGACCCCCUCACCCAGGUCCCCUGCGAGAACGUGAUGGUCCGCUACCCCGUGCCCAGCGAGUGGGUGAAAAACUUCCGCAGGGAAAGUGUCCUGGGAGAGAAGUCUCUGAAAGCCAAAGUGAACCGGGGGGCAAGUUUUGGCUCAGCCAGCGUCUCCGGCUCUGAGCCGGUCAUGAGAGUCACCCUGGGGACUGCCAAGUACGAGCAUGCCUUCAAUGCCAUCGUGUGGAGGAUAAACCGACUGCCUGACAAAAACUCAGCUUCUGGUCACCCACACUGUUUCUUCUGCCACCUUGAACUUGGCUCGGACCGGGAAGUGCCUUCCAGAUUUGCCAAUCACGUGAACGUCGAGUUCAGCAUGCCUACAACGUCUGCCUCCAAAGCUGCUGUGAGAUCCAUCUCUGUGGAAGACAAGACUGACGUCAGGAAGUGGGUCAAUUAUUCUGCACACUACAGCUACAAGGUGGAAAUUGAGCAAAAAAAGAGUUUGAAGCUGGACUUGGACGGAGACAACAUGGAAAAUCCCAAGGAGUGCGGGGUCCAGUGAUGAGGCUGUCUUGCAGGGGUUCCUGACCCAAGUGGCACAAUAGGAUGUCUUCCUGAAUAGCUGAAAUUCAA
rnacentral:lncRNA from 1 species